rnacentral:rRNA from 1 species
AAUCUGGAGACAGGUGCUGCAUGGCUGUCGUCAGCUCGUGUCGUGAGAUGUUGGGUUAAGUCCCGCAACGAGCGCAACCCUUGCCUUUAGUUGCCAGCAGUUCGGCUGGGCACUCUAAAGGGGAACUGCCGGUGUUAAACCGGAGGAAGGUGGGGAUGACGUCAAGUCCUCAUGGCCUUUAUGACCAGGGCUACACACGUACUACAAUGGCCGAUACAAAGGGCAGCGACACUGCGAGGUGAAGCCAAUCCCGUAAAAUCGGUCUCAGUCCGGAUUGGAGUCUGCAACUCGACUCCAUGAAGUUGGAAUCGCUAGUAAUCGUGGAUCAGCAUGCCACGGUGAAUACGUUCCCGGGCCUU